rnacentral:lncRNA from 1 species
AGUGAGAACUUGUCUCAAAAAAAGAAAAGAAAAUGUAUCCAGGAGGUAGGACCAAAAAACAUUUAAACUCUUUGUGUCCAGGAAUAGAGCAGAGACCUUGAAAAGGCAGAAUUAAGUAUAAUUGCUGUGGUCUGAAUGUUUGUGUCCCCCGCUAAUUCGUAUGUUGAAAUUCUAACCCCCAAGGUGAGGAUGGUAUUUAGAAAGCAGGCCUUUGGAGGCCUAGGGCAUGAGGGCAGAGUCCUAUGAAUCAACUAAGUGCCCUUUUAAAAGGGCCUCUGCCCCUUCCACCAAGUGAGGACACAGCAAGAAGUCAUGCUCUAUGAGAAAGCUGGCUCUCACCAGACACCAGAUCUGCUGGCACCUUGAUCUUGGACUUCUCAGACUUCAAAACUGUGAGAAAUAAGUUUCUGUUGUGUAUUAGCUACCCAGUUUACGGUAUUUUGUUGCAACAGCAUGAACAACCUAGGACAAUAAUUUUAAUGUGUAAAAUUAAAUUUAAAUGUUAAAUUAAGUUUAGCCUAAAGCUACUUCCUUACAUAUUUUAAGUUCAGCCUAAAGGUUUCUCCAUACAUAGUGAACUGUAACCUAACUGAAUGUGCAAACAGACUAUGACCUGCUCUUGUGACAAGCAGCUGAGGCUCAGCCAAUCACAGCAGCUGAGUUUCAGCCAAUCACAGGUGGCCAACUGUUUGUAUAAGGCAAACACCCAGCUGUCACCAAUCCAGCUGUUUCUGUACCUCACUUCUGUCUUUAGUCCGUCACUUUCCUUUCUCCAUAAAUGUUAUUCAACCACGUAGUAGCCCCGGGUUUGCUCUGAACCUGUUCUGGUUCUGGGGGCAGCCCAACUAUUGUAUCAUUCUCUGCUCAAACACUGUUAAAUUUAAUUUGUCUAAAGUGUUUCUUUUAACAAAGAGAAGGUGUAUUAGAUUUCCACCUAAUUUGAAAAUUUCAAAGCCAUAAUGGAGAAGCGCAGGCACUACUGGUCAUUUUUGUCCAGUAGAUGGAGCCCUAGUAGAAAGGAAACAGUCUGGCAAGUAUCAAAAUUUCUCAGAGGAAGAUUUGAACGGGGAAUUCACUGUGGAUUCCACACCCUAAGAGUCCAUUAGGCAGCCUGCCAGAGUUCUCCCCAGCCAGUCUGAGUGAGAACUCCCAGCGGAAGGACCCUGAAAUGAACUAAUAAAGUAACCAGCAGGACAAAGCAAUGUGCCAUGGAAAGAACAACAGAUUUGAUUUUAAUCCGAAUGCCAAGAGUUUGUUUUUGCAAACAUACAAAACUUUAGGAAUUAAGGUGGGUUGGAGGUGGAUUUGUGAUACUCAUUGGAUUAGAAAUAAAAGGUUAACAAGUAUAUUAAAAUUAAAGCCAUAAGGCUGUGAUUUUAUGGUGUGUAUGUAUUUGAGGGAAAGAGGAAAAAAUACAUUUAAAAGGCUUGUAAUUCCCUAAAUACCCAUGACUUAUUAAUUAUACAUGGAGUAAUUAAUAAUACAUAGAGUAAUUAUUACAAUAAUACAUGGAGUAAUUAAAAUUUCUGCAACAUUUGAUUAUCAAGAUGUGAUAUAAUUUAUUGAAUUGGAUUAUAGUUUGUGGAUGUGCUUAGCGCUCUACUACUUUUUAAAAUGCUCUCCCACACAUCAUCAUCAGAGCACAUCUCAGAGAUGGAAAUUUGUGAUUUGCCCAAGGUUAGUGGGGCAACUGAUAAAAAAAGGAUCCUGUCUUACAUACUCCCACCCUUUGUUGUAAGCUCCUGUUGGAUGCCAAGAAUCACCUGCUGCCUUAGUUCUUUGAACAGGUUUUAUGUGUUUGAUGGAAAAAGGGCACUUUUCAAGAGAGAGAAUAGCUGAGCUUUGAAGAAUGGAAUGACCAGGAUCUGAGUAGAGAGAGUGGCAGGAAGGGGAGCUGGGGCUAGGCAAGCUUGGGUUCACAGAGCUGCCCCUCUCUUAUCUACCUGGUGGAGGGGGAGUAGAGAUCAUGAUACUCCAACCCCUCUCUUCAUGAACCUGGAGUAGGGAGAGUAGAAGAGAGAGGGAACAGGGGAAUCUCAUAAGAUUGCUUGGUAGCAUAACGACCUCGGCGAAUUUAAAGUGGAACUGAGGUCCUUAGUCUUAGUCCAUUUGUGCUGCUAUAACAAAGUAUCUUACACUGGGUAAUUUAUAAACAACAGAAAUGUAUUGCUCACAGUUCUGGAGGCUGGGAAGUCCAAGAUAAAGUGCCAGCAGGUUCAAUGUCUGGUAAGGGCUCAUUGCACAGAGAUGGUACCUCUUGCUGCAUUCUCACAUGGUAGAAGGGAGCAAACAGCCUCCUUUUAAUCUCCUUUACAUUAUCCCAUUUAUGAAGGCAGUCUUCAUGACUUAAUCACUUCCCCCAAAGUCUCCACCUCCAUGCUAUGACAUUGAGGAUUAAGUUUCAGCCUAUGAUUUUGGAAAGCAUACCAACAUUCAGACCAUAGAACCAGCCAAUGAGAUUGUGGGCUAUUCUUCCACCAUACUCAAUGGGCAAAGACAUGGAGUAGGGCAGAGAGCUGGAUUUAACCAGGGUUGGAGUUUGGCCAAGUGAGUUUAAAGUACAAUUAAAAGGACAAGGGAGUUUGGGAUCUAUUCAAGAGGGUGACUAUGAUGGACCAUCCAAUUUCAGUUGGAUAAGGAAGUUGAGGACAGCAAGUCACAGUCACAGUCUGAGCCAAUUCUCAGUGGCCAGGGCUAUAGAAGGACACAGGCCAUAAGAAGAUAAGGAGGAACCUUGCACUGCUGGCCUCUGACAGUGAGUAGAACCCAAUCUCUCUCUAAGCCAGUGACCCAAUUUCCUCUGUCUUAAACAGCUCAUAGUACAGCUGGCUCUUUCUCAUUCUUCAGGCUGCUGUGAAAUCUUCCCUGACUUCCCCAGCAUAGGACACAGAUCCUCCCUGCUGUUCUUAAUAACACACUUUUUUUUUUAUUUCUUUCAGGGCUUCUCACCAUCUGGUUAUUUUAUUGAUUUGUUUACAUGUUUAUUGUCUGUUUUUCCCACCAGAAUGCAAGCUCCACAAGGCCAGGAAUCUUUCCUGUCCAAUUCACCACAGCAGCCUCAACCUGGCAGACAGUUCAGCAUACAGCUAAAUAAUGGCUCCCAAAGAUGUGUCUACAUCCUAAUCUCCAGAAUCUGUGAAUGUUACUUUAUGUGGCAAGAGAGAGGCUGAAGGAGAUUUGGUACCAACAGAAGAGGAGGAGGAAAUUGUGAUCAUGCAGAAACUGGAGUGAUGGAGUCACAAGCCAAGGAAUGCCAGCAGCCACCAGAAGCCGAAAGAGGCCCUGCCAACACCUUGAUUUAGGCCUAAUGAAACUGAGUUUAGAUUUCUGGACCCCAGAACUGUGAAAGAAUAAAUUUCUGUUGUGUUAAGCCCCUAAUUUUGUGGUAAUGUGUCACAGCAGCCCUUGGAACCUAAUACACUCCCCAAGCCAUCACAAUGACGGUUAAGGGAAGUAAAACGAUAAAAUUCAUAAAGAUAAAGAGAAUAACAGAAAAGGAUUUCAAUAAGUGUUUGGAAGAUGGAAAAGGAAAGAAUGAGAAGCAACUUACUUAUCAGAGUAGAGAAAAUUACCUGAGAGCCUGGAGAAAGGGAAGUGAAUAAGACAGAGUCAGUUCUCCCCAGAGAAGCCAGACACAGGGUCAUUGAGCACCAAGCAGGGGCAGGAGUGGGGUGCAGGGCUGGCACUGGGGAUAGAGUGGAAACAUUAACAUGGACCUUGGAUCCCUGGGCCCUGACUCCUCUGACACUGGUCUUCCUGAACUAGCUGCAUCCCUUCUUGUCAUGCCCUCCACUCCAGUCCCUGCCCUUGACCCCACCACCACCACCUCAGCUGACACACAUCAGUUCAGCUCACACUCCUUCUGUUAGAAAGAACCAGUCACAAGGUUCUUCCUGAAUGCAAUGGGGCUGGGAAAUGCUGAGCAGUGCCAGGCACAGGCUUCCUCUAAACCACUCUGCACCAAGGAAGAAGGACAUUUUUUUGAUGGUCUAAUACCCGUCUCUGCCACACUCUCUAAGGCAAUUAAUUUUAAAAUUUUAGAAUACUGGAAAUAAAGAAAAGAUACUAAAAACUUCCAGAAUGAAAAACCAGGUCACAUAUUGCCUUAUGGAUCAGCAAUCUGACUGGCAUCAGCCUUUUCAAUAGCAAUACAAAAUGCCAGAAGACAACAGGGCAAUGCCCUCAAAAUUCUGAGAGAAAAUAUCUUGCUAAUAAAACAUCUAUUACACCUAGCAAGCAGCCAUCCCAAAGGCAGAAGGCUGUGAAAGAACAAAAGGGAGCUAUCUAGGGAGAAAAACAUAACUGUUAAUUAUUAUUAUAAUAAUAAUAUAUUUUUAGAGACAAGGUCUCUGUCAACCCAUGCUGAGGUG